rnacentral:rRNA from 1 species
UACGUAGGGUGCAAGCGUUGUCCGGAAUUAUUGGGCGUAAAGAGCUCGUAGGCGGUUUGUUGCGUCGGCUGUGAAAUCCCGAGGCUCAACCGUCGGUCGUGCAGUCGAUACGAGCAAACUAGAGUGUUGCAGGGGAGACUGGAAUUCCUGGUGUAGCGGUGAAAUGCGCAGAGUAUCAGGAGGAACACCGGUGGCGAAGGCGGGCUCUGGGCAACAACUGACGCUGAGGAGCGAAAG